GGGAGAUUGAAAUGAAUAGAUUGAUAAAAGAUGAUGAAUGAGUACAACAGUAUUGCUAUAUAUAGAGAUUAGUUUGAGUAACUAACUCUAACUAACUUCUAACCAAGCUACUAACUCUAGCCGAACUAUUUUAACACAUGCAACUAUAGAGAACUUACACAAUCAUUGUCAAAGGAUUCACACAUAAUAAACUAAACAAGAAAGUCUUAUUCAAUCUUAAGCCCUCAGCUCCCACCAUAAUCCUUAUGUUACAGUUAAUGCUUAAUUCGUUGAUAUUGCUAUUAAGAAGCAUAGUAUCAUAUAAACAAAAAUCCUCCGCUUUCAAAAUAAUCAAUUUCCUCCACAUCAUGUAAAGGAAAGAACCUCUCUUGAUAAUUUAUAAUGUUAUAGGAAAACUCAGCUCCAACAUCAUCUUCAGGAAGCCAAGCAACAACUCCACCAACACUAUGUAUCAUUUUAUCUGUAGCCAUAAGAACUUCAUUUUUCCAGACACCAACAGGACGCUCUAAACUCGUAAACAUACCAAGAGUUUGCACCUUCAUCCAACACUCAACACCUUCAUAUUCAUCAGACAAAAUCCACAAAUCUAACCAUUGUUCCAUACUUUUACUUUUUAAACAAGUAAUCAAUGAAACAGAAUCCUUAUAAAUUACAAGUUUCUUAUAAACUUCAUCACAGUCUUUAAAAGGAUUAAUCGGCAACUCAAUCUUGCUAAUAACAUUGUCAAUUGAAUUAAAAGAGAUAAUCACUUCAUGACUAACCUUUUCAGUUACCUCCAUAGCAAUCCAAAACAAGGUUCCUUCCAUUGUCACAUUGUUCUCAGUCCAAAACAAAUGUCCCUUCAAAAUCAAAUUUUGAUCACAACCCUUUAUUUCUCUCCAUAACCUUUUACUCAAUGAGUACUUUUCACCUCCAACAGCAUAAGUUCUUCUACUAGAAUCCCUCUUUGUGUUUUCAAAAGAGUGAAACCUUAUCACAUAAAAAUCAUUAUUACUUUCAUAAAAACCUAUAAGACAAUUUGGUGGCAUAAGCAAAGGUUGUUGACGAUGUGGCGGUUCAAUGAUUCUUUUGGUUUGUUUUGUGGUUGGAUUCCAAAGGAAAAGGGUUGAGUAUUGGUCUAAGGAAUAAUGAGCAAUACAAAAUAAACCAUUGCAUGAAGCUAUGAUCUUAUAACCCAUAUCAGAAUUUGUAACUCUUGGAAUAUGAAGCUCUUUGAGAUGUUUUGUUUUGGUAUCUAGAAGAAAUAGGUGUUGGCCACAUACAUUGUUAUCUUUGUAGUAAAAGCGAUCAAGGAUUAGAAGUGAGUUUGUUUUGGUGGAGAAAAGAAAGUGUUUUGGAGCUUCAACUACUUUUUUGAUCAAUGACUUGAAACGGCUUUGAAAUGACUUCAUGGAUGAUUCGUUUUCUUGUGUCAAUGAGGUAGUAGUAGUAUAACAAUCUUUACUAGAGGUGGUGUAGUUAUAAAUUUAUGGGAUAAUCCUUCAUGGAUAUGGUUAGUAGAGUUUUAUGUAUUGAAUUUGAGUAGUUUUGGUAGUCUUGGAACGUGAGAGUGGAACGGUUAGUUAACGGAAUGAGCUCAUUGGUGGAAGUGGAACGGUUUCUAAGAAAUAUUCAUCCUUGGAAAAUUGGAAACAUAACUGAAAUUUAGUGUGCUCCCAAGUCCCAAUGAAUGGAGUGAUUUUCAUUCACCAUUGUUAAUCGAAAUUACAAA
rnacentral:lncRNA from 1 species